GAUACGGUCGGUGCGCAUACGCAUACGCAAACCCCUCCAAUCGUCACGUGACUGGUCUAUAGUAGGUCACUUUUCUGGGAGAAGUCUCCAAUGGGAGGGUUCUUCUUUACUAAAAUCAAUAGUGAGGGUGGCCCGUGACGUCACACGGUAAACGAGACCGGCCAAUGCGGAGCGUGCGGCGACGGUCAAUUUCUUUGAAGCAAUCAAUAAAGAAACCAGUCCCACCGUAGCUGGUUGUGGAGGCGUAGCGUAGACGGGGUAGAAUUCGAAUGGUGGAUCGUACGAGUAAAAUGAAGGAUAAUAGAAAUCACCCCGAGUAUGCCUCAGCGUCCUGGUAUAUCUUAUUGUUAGUCGGUAAAGUGUGUUGCCCUUGCAGUAAUUGUUACGAUAAUAUAUAUACAGUUGCACCGGGAUGUACGCUGUUCGCGGACAUAACUAAUGAUAUCCCUCCAUACCUGCGCUGCUGUAUUCUCGCAGUUUCGAAGGAUUCGUUACAGCCUAAUAGUCACACGCAUCGGAUGAACGAUCAUCGUUGCGAAAUUGCCUAUCGGUUCUCGAACGAGCUUCUUGAUCGAGGUGUCAGAUUAUCACUCACAAUCAAACGAAUUCAACACUCUUCGCCUUGUUCAAAAGAAACCUGCGGGUACAGUAGACGGUACUUUAAAGACGUAUACGCGACCGCCCUUGACACGGGGUAAACCAGAAGCACUCGCCUUAUAUUUUUAACGCUGUUACAUGAUAUGUAUGCGUAUACCUAAUAUAUAGAAAUGACUCCUCAUUUACCCUGAGGACAUGUCAUCAGCGAUGUAAGUAUGGGUAUUGCUUGCAUGCCUAUCCCUUCAUCUGACAAAUCGUGAUAUACAUAUUUAGACAUUACCUAGAGAGAAUAAGUGAUGGAUCCCAAAUAUUGUAAUAAGUACACGAAUAGCUAUCAUUAGGUCGAAAAAAAGGACGAAGAGAAGCCGCCAUUUCCCAAUUCAAUUUUCCAGAUCCGACGGUGCAGCAAUAUUAUUAGAGGUGGAUUUAUAGGGCAAGAAUAGAUUCGAUAAAAUGGAUAAUACGUAGAACCUCGAUUAUCCGGGUGCGGAUCUACCGUGCUGCGGUUUAACCGUACCGAGCUUUCGGAAUUAUAUGUACAUACGUAUGAAUCUUAUAAUUUUUCAAGGGAAUCACGCGUUAUGCGCGCAAGCGUAUACAUAUAUGUAGAGGUACGACAUAUGUAUGUAUUUAAAAAUGAUCGGCAAUCGUUAUAACAAGAGCGCAAAAAUCUCGUUACGAACUGCCAAUUCUGAUUAUCCGUGGUUCUCAAUUAUCUGUCGAGUAUUCGGUCCCUUCGACCCUGGAUAAUCGAGGUUUUACGUACAAAUUUCGCGGGUGUCGCACAGUUAGGUACAGUUGCAUACGUACGUACGUACGUAUAUUCGUGAGUAGGAGUUGGUUUUGACUUGAAAGAGAAUGGGAAGCACCGUAAAUCGAUGGUGUCUGGCGCACCGUGCACGGCAAUCCCUUGCAUCGCCCUCUAUGCCCUUCGCGACCUCGUCUCCUACUCCAUACCUUUGCGAUUUCGCUAGUUUCACCGUCCCCACCUUUUUCCUAUUCCUAUAUUGGAGUGUAUACAUAUGUAUGUAUAAAUUCUCGCUAGCAUAUAGACAUGGCUCGCGCCGCCGCCCUGGCAACGCACAACGUGAGUCAUCAGAACCCCACAGCUACGAUCUUUGUGACGAACCCCCUAUUCCUCACUUGCAAAUGUGCAGGGCCUCUCAACUCUAAUCUACCUGCAAUUCUCAAUUCCUCCGCUCUUCAGACUCUGAGCAAUUCAAAUCACGAUUCAUAUACAUGCACAUAUUCCCGUAAUGGCAGGAGCGAGAUGGAAAUUGCACGUAUACUACACACAUACGUGUAUACAGACGAAUGCUUGCGUAAUGUGACCUCAUUGACACAGAAAACGGUACGGUGUACCUUCGAUGUUAAAUUUUCUGGAGACGCUUGACUAUUAAAAUAAUCAAAUAAUCAUAAAGGGAAAUAAUCAUACCUAUAGUACCCAACGAAAAGAGUAGUUGAGCAAGAAAGUCUAUACGGGGUCUCAUACUCACAAAUGUUUAGUUCUCUAAAUUCUAAAACUGAUAGAAAAAUUACAAUGAUUUUAUGGCCAUGAAAUAAUAUCAAUCGCUUUGAUUUGCAGUUGACCCAUAAUUCUUUUUCUCACGAUGGGUGAGAGCGACGUUUUUUAUGAUUGUGCUCGGAGUUUGGCCUCAAUAAUAAUCGAAAUGAACAACUGCAGGUCCACAGUUGAGGAUGAUGCAUUCAACGUAAAUUUUUCUCAAUUUCGGUGGAUACCGCUAUAUACUAUAAUGACGAACGGAUAUCCUGCUCUUCGUCGUCAUCGUGGAGAUAUUCAAGAAAAUACACCCGUAUUAAAGUAAACACCAACUAUGGCAUAUCCAGCUUGACAGCUGAACAAUGACUGCGACCUGAAUGACUACGACCAAAUUCUUACGUACACUACAGUCAACGAAUUCAGGACCGAAUUCGUUGCUGCAGCAUAACGGCAUUCCAUAGCAGGAAUGAGCUGAUUUAUCUUUUUACUCAUAGAUUUGGGGAAAGAGGUAAACGCUAAUUCUCAAUGGCGACACUGACAUCGGAUCCGCUUCAUCGUGUUGCUAAAUAUUCGUAACUCAAUUCCUAUAAGCCUCCGUGAUGACACUGCAAUAGAAUAACAUAGUAGUCACACUGUGUCAUAUUAACCCAGCCAAGUUCAAAUGGUUGCUGCGUGAAUACUUUCAGUCGGGUCGCGAUUGAAAAAAUACUAGAAAAUACUUUGAACAUUGUUGAGAACAUGUAUCAAAAGUCGGUAUGUAAAAAUUUCAAUUACAAUACGUUGGAGAAAAAAAUCUCAUAUGUAUUGGUAAACUUGUAAAAAAAUACACCGAUACAAAAAUUGGUAUGGGUAAAAUUUACUCAUGGUGAAUAUGGAGAGUUAAUACUCGUUUUAACGAUUUCGUAAAACAUAUCGCGUAUUGGUAAUAAAUAAUUAUGAACGUGAACAUUUUCAGUAAAAGCUUAUGCUGAUACCAUAAAUCCUGUUCAUUGUUCCAUGUCGGAUGUUGUUCGUCACAAACAAGCGCAUUGCGUAGGGCUCUGCAUAGAACGAUAGAAAAAUCGCUAAAGUUAACUAGGUUUGCUAUAAUAAUAUUCCGAUCUUUUCGAAUGAAGGAAAAUGGAGAUAAACAAGGGCGUGCUGUGCCGAUGCCAUGUUACGUAUAUUCAAAUAAAUUAUGUGCCAGUUUGUCAAUCGACGGUUGACAGUGAGCGUACGUCGUUCAUUCAACGCAAAAAUUGUUCACAAAGAGAUUACUGCGAACAUGACAUGUAUGAUUCAUUAUACCAUUAUUAUACCAUCAUCAAGAGACUAAUUAUGUUGAAAUUUUUUUCGAUCAUAACACCGUAAUUAUCUCUGGGAAAGAUUAAAGUAACCUCUGACUCACCGGAUAGGCCGAGGAAUAUCCGAAAACAGCUGACGAUGAGGUCGCGGAGCCCUGUCAAUGGCAACGGCAACGGUUCAGGGCUCCGGCAUUCCUUCGUUCAUGCACGCCAUCGAUUAUCGCUGACAACGAGUCGAUAUCUUUCGUGGUUUC